GCAUUUUGUAAACUCAAAGAAUGUUCAUUUGGAAGCUUGUCCAUAUUCAUCUGUAAUGACUGGUGCUGUUCCAUUGGAUUGGAAGAAUCAUCCAAUUGCACGAUGGGCUAAAGAUGAUGUUAAUUUCUCUGUAUCUCGUGAUGAUCCAACAUGUUUUGAUAAUUCGAUGCUCAGUGAAUUGACACUUGUUCAUAAGCAGAUCGGAUUGGAU
rnacentral:sRNA from 1 species